rnacentral:tRNA from 1 species
GGGGUCGUAGUGUAACUUGGCUAGCACGGCAGGCUCCAGACCUGCAAAUCCGGGAGGGGUUAAGUGGGAACUUGACCUCCGGGAAUUCAAAUCCUGGCGACCCCACCA